rnacentral:rRNA from 1 species
CCUACGGGAGGCAGCAGUGAGGAAUAUUGGUCAAUGGACGAGAGUCUGAACCAGCCAAGUAGCGUGAAGGAUGACUGCCCUAUGGGUUGUAAACUUCUUUUAUAUGGGAAUAAAACGUUCCAAGUGUGGGAUUUUGUAUGUACCAUAUGAAUAAGGAUCGGCUAACUCAGUGCCAGCAGCCGCGGUAAUACGGAGGAUCCGAGCGUUAUCCGGAUUUAUUGGGUGUAAAGGGAGCGUAGGUGGAUUGUUAAGUCAGUUGUGAAAGUUUGCGGGUCAACCGUAAAAUUGCAGUUGAAACUGGCAGUCUUGAGUACAGUAGAGGUGGGCGGAAUUCGUGGUGUAGCGGUGAAAUGCUUAGAUAUCACGAAGAACUCCGAUUGCGAAGGCAGUUCACUGGACUGCAACUGACACUGAGGCUCGAAAGUGUGGGUAUCAAACAGGAUUAGAUACCCCUGUAGUC